rnacentral:rRNA from 1 species
UACAGAGGUCCCCAAGCGUUGUUCGGAUUCAUUGGGCGUAAAGGGUGCGUAGGUGGCGCCGUAAGUCAGGGUGUGAAAUCUCGGGGCUUAACUCCGAAACUGCAUUUGAUACUGCGGUGCUUGAGGACUGGAGAGGAGACUGGAAUUUACGGUGUAGCAGUGAAAUGCGUAGAGAUCGUAAGGAAGACCAGUGGCGAAGGCGGGUCUCUGGACAGUUCCUGACACUGAGGCACGAAGGCCAGGGGAGCAAACGGG